UCAUGAACGCGCUCAUUUGGCUCCCAGCAUGCCGCACGUCCGGAGAGACCAGCGCUUUCCAGGAGCUCAGCUGAACCCAGUGCAGCACACCCUGCUGCACCCGUGUAGGAGAAAAAACUCACAUUUAAAAACAACAGAAAGGAACUCCAGGCUCUUCUCCAACCUCCAGGUGUAUCAGAGGUUGUGUGUGUGUGUGUCUGAGCGUUGCUGGAGGAGAGCGGUGUACGCAGGCCUGAGGGGUUGUCUGUUAUC